rnacentral:misc_RNA from 1 species
GAUGAAGAACGCAGCGAAAUGCGAUACUUGGUGUGAAUUGCAGAAUCCCGUGAACCAUCGAGUCUUUGAACGCAAGUUGCGCCCGAAGCCAUUAGGCCGAGGGCACGCCUGCCUGGGCGUCACACGUCGUUGCCCCCCCAUCUACUCCUUCGGGAUUGCGGGGGGCGGAUGAUGGCCUCCCGUGCGCCUCGUCGCGCGGUUGGCAUAAAUGCCAAGUCCUCGGCGACGCACGCCACGACAAUCGGUGGUUGCGAAACCUCGGUUGCCCGUCGUGUGCGGUCGUCGCGCAUCGAGGGCUCGAAAAAAUUGCCGGGCUCCGGCUCGGCUUUCAACGCGACCCCAGGUCAGGCGGGGUUACCCGCUGAAUUUAAGCAUAUCAAUAAGCGAAGGA